rnacentral:rRNA from 1 species
CAGUCGCCGCGGGAAUACGUAGGGGGCAAGCGCUAUCCGGAUUUACUGGGUGUAAAGGGAGCGCAGACGGCAGUGCAAGUCUGAAGUGAAAGGCGUGGGCUCAACCCAUGAACUGCUUUGGAAACUGUAUAGCUUGAGUGUCGGAGGGGUAAGCGGAAUUCCUAGUGUAGCGGUGAAAUGCGUAGAUAUUAGGAGGAACACCGGAGGCGAAGGCGGCUUACUGGACGACAACUGACGUUGAGGCUCGAAGGCGUGGGGAGCAAACAGGAUUAGAUACCCCUGUAGUCCCUGUCUCUUAUAC